rnacentral:rRNA from 1 species
GACGAACGCUGGCGGCGUGCUUAACACAUGCAAGUCGAACGAGGAACGAGGGAGCUUGCUCGCUCCGGAGCGUUGGCGAACGGGUCAGUAACACGUGAUCAAUCUGCCCCGAACUCUGGGAUAAUCGUUGGAAACGACGUCUAAUACCCGAUACGUCGCGGGAGGUCAUCCUCUCCGCGUGGAAUGAACUUCGUGUCGGGGUGAGAUCGGGCCCUGUCAGCUUGUUGUUGGGGUAACGGCUCAACAAGGCGACGACGUGGAGCCGGGCUGCGGGGGUGACAGGCCAAACUAGGAUUGAGACACGGCCCAGACUCGUACGGGAGGCAGCGGUGGAGAAUAGUGCACUAUGGGCGGAAGCAAGGUGUAGCCCAGCCGCGCGGGGGAAGACGGCAAUCGGGUUGUAAACCUAUUUUAGCAGGGAAGAAGCGAUAGUGACGGUACCUGGAGAAAAAGCACCGGCUAACUACGUG